AUGUCUAAGGCCAUACCACCCUGAAUGCGCCCGAUCUCGUCUGAUCUCAGAAGCUAAGCAGGGUCGGGCCUGGUUAGUACUUGGACGGG
rnacentral:rRNA from 14 species